AGACAGCAGCAGCCGCGGGAAUACAGAGGGUGCGAGCGUUAAUCGGAUUUACUGGGCGUAAAGCGUGCGUAGGCGGCUAAUUGAGUCGGAUGUGAAAUCCCCGAGCUUAACUUGGGAAUUGCAUUCGAUACUGGUUAGCUAGAGUGUGGGAGAGGAUGGUAGAAUUCCAGGUGUAGCGGUGAAAUGCGUAGAGAUCUGGAGGAAUACCGAUGGCGAAGGCAGCCAUCUGGCCUAACACUGACGCUGAGGUACGAAAGCAUGGGGAGCAAACAGGAUUAGAUACCCCUGUAGUCCCUGUCUCUUAUAC
rnacentral:rRNA from 1 species